AGAGUUUGAUCAUGGCUCAGAACGAACGCUGGCGGCAGGCCUAACACAUGCAAGUCGAACGCUCGUAGCAAUACGGGAGUGGCAGACGGGUGAGUAACGCGUGGGAACGUACCUUUCGGUUCGGAAUAACCCGGGGAAACUCGGGCUAAUACCGGAUACGUCCGCAAGGAGAAAGAUUUAUCGCCGAAAGAUCGGCCCGCGUCGGAUUAGCUAGUUGGCGGGGUAAUGGCCCACCAAGGCGACGAUCCGUAGCUGGUCUGAGAGGAUGAUCAGCCACACUGGGACUGAGACACGGCCCAGACUCCUACGGGAGGCAGCAGUGGGGAAUAUUGGACAAUGGGCGAAAGCCUGAUCCAGCCAUGCCGCGUGAGUGAAGAAGGCCUUAGGGUUGUAAAGCUCUUUCAGCGGGGAAGAUAAUGACGGUACCCGCAGAAGAAGUCCCGGCUAACUUCGUGCCAGCAGCCGCGGUAAUACGAAGGGGACUAGCGUUGUUCGGAUUUACUGGGCGUAAAGCGCGCGUAGGCGGAUCGCUAAGUCAGGGGUGAAAUCCCAGGGCUCAACCCUGGAACUGCCUUUGAUACUGACGAUCUGGAGAUCGGGAGAGGUUGGUGGAAUUCCGAGUGUAGAGGUGAAAUUCGUAGAUAUUCGGAGGAACACCAGAAGCGAAGGCGGCCAACUGGCCCGAUACUGACGCUGAGGC
rnacentral:rRNA from 1 species